rnacentral:rRNA from 1 species
GAUGAACGCUAGCGGCAGGCUUAAUACAUGCAAGUCGAGGGGCAGCAGUUUUGUAGCAAUACAGAAGCUGGCGACCGGCAAACGGGUGCGGAACACGUACGCAACCUUCCUUUAACUGGAAGAUAGCCCACCGAAAGGUGGAUUAAUACUCCAUAAUAUAUUGAAGAGGCAUCUUUUUGAUAUUAAAGCUCCGGCGGUUAAAGAUGGGCGUGCGUCUGAUUAGGUAGUUGGCGGGGUAACGGCCCACCAAGCCUUCGAUCAGUAGCUGAUGUGAGAGCAUGAUCAGCCACACGGGCACUGAGACACGGGCCCGACUCCUACGGGAGGCAGCAGUAAGGAAUAUUGGUCAAUGGACGCAAGUCUGAACCAGCCAUGCCGCGUGGAGGAUGAAGGCCCUCUUGGUUGUAAACUUCUUUUCUUUGGGACGAAACCCCUGUUUCUACGGGGACUGACGGUACCAGAAGAAUAAGCACCGGCUAACUCCGUGCCAGCAGCCGCCGUAAAAC